rnacentral:rRNA from 1 species
GUAGCGUAGCGCGGAGAGCUCAAAUUUGAAGCUGGCACCUCCGGUGUCCGCGUUGUAAUCUCGAGACGUGUUUUCCGUGCGGCUCUAUGGACAAGUCCCUUGGAAUAGGGCAUCGUAGAGGGUGAGAAUCCCGUACUUGCCAUGGAAGAACCGUGCUUUGCGAUACACGCUCUAAGAGUCGAGUUGUUUGGGAUUGCAGCUCAAAAUGGGUGGUAGACUCCAUCUAAAGCUAAAUAUCGGGGAGAGACCGAUAGCGAACAAGUACCGUGAGGGAAAGAUGAAAAGMACUUUGGAAAGAGAGUUAAAAGUACGUGAAAUUGUCGAAAGGGAAGCACUUGAAGUCAGCCAUGCUGCUUGAGACUCAGCCUGGCCUUUGGGCUUGGUGUAUUCUCGGUGGCAAGCCAGCAUUGGUUUGGGUCGUCGGAGAAGCGCAUAGGGAAUGUAGCGUUUCCGGACGUGUUAUAGCCUUAUGCAGGAUACGACGACCUGG